rnacentral:rRNA from 1 species
CAGUAUCAAGCGCAGAGGAAGGACGCAGGUACUAUCUGGAUAGGUCCGUGAUGACCCAUGAAUCUUCCGGGCAACACGCGCCGCUACAAAGGUGGGGACAAUGGGACCCGACCUCGAAAGGGGGAGGCAAUCCUGAAACCCCAUCGUAGUCUGGAUCGAGGGCUGUAACUCGCCCUCGUGAAAAUGGAUUCCGUAGUAAUCGCGGGUCAACAUCCCGCGGUGAAUGUGCCCCUGCUCUUUGCACACACCGCCCGUCAACUCAUCCGAGUUGGGUCGGAGUGAGGGUGCCUCAUCCGGGG